GCGCCUCGCCGGUUGCGGGUGUCGACGCCCGGCCGGCCCGGCGGGGUGGGACUGGGGCGGGAGGGGGCAGGGGAGCUUGGCUCCCGGCCCGCCUCCGGUCGCCUAGCAACCGCCGGCGGACCCGGUGCUGCCCGAGGCCCCGGCAGCUCGGCCCUGCGGCUGUGGGUCCUCCCGGCGAGAUACAAUGCGGGAAGCGCCGAGGCCUGCGUUAACCGUUCCUGUGCCGGCAGCUCCGUCGCGGAACCGGAGGGAAGUUUCACUGUGUUCAUCGCUUACUUUUCCUCGCGGCUUCCCUCGUCCAGCAGGACGUUUCCUUGGGUGAGGAAAGAGAAGGGACAGGCACUUGGGACAACCCAGACGGCCCUGGCAGAAAGGUCUGGAUAAGUAAGCGUUAACGAGGGGAGAGAAGGCCCCGGAAGAAACUGUGGCCUGGGCAACAAGUCUUGAUGGAUCUCGGCAAUCAGAAGGAGGAAGGUGUGUUUCCUGAAAAGGUCUUAGAAAGCAAAAGGAAGGGACAGUAAGGAUCAUGGCCCAUACUUUUCAACCGCCCCUCUCUGUCCACCUGCAGCAGACUCUCCUUCAUGUACUAAUUCCACAAAUGUGGAGCCCCUGUCCUUGUGCUGCUCACCGCCCACUGAAGAAACACAGUGACUACCUCACAACCCAACCCAAGCCACGGAGGGAGGCCCUGGAAGGCCCCCAAGCUCACUCCUCAGACUCAAAGCCUUUACCGGGAGUUAGGGUCCAAGAUGUUUGGAAACCACUGACAAGAGGUUGAUGCUUGCAAGGCAUUAUUGUGAAAACUGAGAUGGAUCAACAGCCAGGAUGAGUUUGCUUCACACUCACAGGCAAGGGUGAGCUUUGCCUUGUUCUAGAACAGUCACCUUCCGGAACCAUCUUACCUUUUCAUGGAAUCUGCAGUCCCUUGCGUAUAUGGAUGGCCAACGCUUCAUUUAAAGUGGAGUUCCUAGUUUUGUGACUUUUGUUCAUUUUGCCGCAAUCACUUACUAAAAACAUACACUGGGAUCCAGCAUUGUUGCACCCAAUCUUAGGCAAUAAAUCUAAUGAUAGAUAGUAUACAAAUAUAAUAAAUAAUGUGGGACUAAACACACUGUCCAAAAGACUUUAAAUUUUAUUUAUUUCCUCCUCUAAAAGAAAGAUUUUUCAACUUUAAAAUCUCUGGAGCUCACUUGGCUUAAUUCCUCAGAACUAUCCCAAAUGGUUUUGAAAGAGUCAUUAUUUCUCUCAUGCACUGAACAUACAAUGCUCUUACUUAGGAAGAGGAAGAAAAAAAUGUUUACAGUCCCACUUUGUACAUUAAGAAAUGUGUAUAACAUUAGCUCUUGAUUCAGAAAUUAUAAAUAAAGCUGUUUUAUCAUCCAGUG